rnacentral:rRNA from 1 species
UACGUAGGGGGCUAGCGUUAUCCGGAAUUACUAGGCGUAAAGGGCAGGCAGGCGGAUCCAUAAGUUUAUCGUUUAAGGCGUCGGCUUAACCGGCGUAGGGCGGUAGAUACUGUGGAUCUGGAAUGCGGUUGGGGAAGACAGAAUUCCUGGUGUAGCGGUGGAAUGCGCAGAGAUCAGGAGGAAUACCGAAGGAGAAGGCAGUCUUCCAAGCCGUUAUUGACGCUCAACUGCGAAGGUGUGGGUAUCAAACAGGAUUAGAUACCCGCGUAGUCCCUGA